UGGGGAAUCUUGGACAAUGGGCGCAAGCCUGAUCCAGCCAUGCCGCGUGGGUGAAGAAGGCCUUAGGGUUGUAAAGCCCUUUCAGUCGUGACGAUGAUGACGGUAGCGACAGAAGAAGCCCCGGCUAUCUCCGUGCCAGCAGCCGCGGUAAUACGGAGGGCGCAAGCGUUGUUCGGAUUUACUGGGCGUUAAGGGCGCGUAGGCGGGCGAUCAAGUCAGGGGUGAAAGGCCUGGGCUCAACCUGGGACGUGCCUUUGAAACUGAUUGUCUUGAGUGCGGGAGAGGGUGACGGAAUUCCCAGUGUAGAGGUGAAAUUCGUAGAUAUUGGGAAGAACACCGGUGGCGAAAGCGGCUCUCUGGUCCGGUUCUGACGCUGAGGCGCGAAAGCGUGGGGAGCAAACAGGAUUAGAUACCCGUGUAGUCC
rnacentral:rRNA from 1 species